rnacentral:rRNA from 1 species
UACGAAGGGGGCUAGCGUUGCUCGGAAUUACUGGGCGUAAAGCGCACGUAGGCGGCUUCUUAAGUCGAUGGUGAAAUCCUGGAGCUCAACUCCAGAACUGCCUUCGAAACUGGGAAGCUCGAGUUCGGGAGAGGUGAGUGGAACUGCGAGUGUAGAGGCGAAAUUCGUAGAUAUUCGCAAGAACACCGGUGGCGAAGGCGGCUCACUGGCCCGUUACUGACGCUGAGGCACGAAAGCGUGGGGAGCAAACAGG